rnacentral:ncRNA from 1 species
CAUAGACUCUGAGGGACAGGUUUUGCCGGGCGGCGUUCAGCCGUCGGCGAACGAAGAGGGAAGCCGGUGCAAAUCCGGCGCGGGGCCGCCACUGUAAUCGGUGAGGCCCGGUUCAAGAUGCCACUGCCGGGAAGGGAUCAGCGAGGGUAGAUGAGGGCUGAGGCGAGCGCGGGUUAGACCCGUCGCCAACUGCCAUCCUCUCUCCUUGAGAUUCUAACUCGGUGGGAAGGCGAACCGGUCCGUUCGAGCCGAGAGCCAGAAGACCUGCCUGUCGUUGCUUUCGCCG